AAGGCGACACCCCGAAAAGCCUUUAACAGAGUAGGGA
rfam:Capnocytophaga ochracea DSM 7271, complete genome.